AAACUGUCAGUUUGCUUCAGUACAGGGCCAGUAUACAAACAUUUCACUCGGCUAAUGUAACAGUGGUGUAGCUGACCUUCCUGAAUCUAAAAUUAAACAUGAAUGAAAUACUUUUAAUUAUAUUUGCCACUUUGCCAUAUGUUCAUGGCAUCACACUGACCUCGUCUCCUGCACAGAUGAAAACUCCUGGUGAAUCAGUGAGGUUGUCCUGUCAGAUUUCUGGUUAUGCUCUCAGUGAUUACGGCACAGCAUGGAUCAGACAGCCACCUGGAAAAGCCAUGCAGUGGAUUGGGAUAUGGGGUGGAUCAAUAGACUCUGGGAAUUCCUUCAAGAGUCGGUUCACUAUUUCCAGAGACACCAAUCGUAAUGAGCUGUAUUUAGAUAUCAGCAGUCUGCAGACUGGGGACACAGCUGUGUAUUACUGUGCAAAGACUGCCACAGUAGCUCAUCUGAGCAUAAGACACUAA